rnacentral:rRNA from 1 species
GACGAACGCUGGCGGCGUGCCUAAUACAUGCAAGUCGAGCGGACUUAAAAAGCUUGCUUUUUAAGUUAGCGGCGGACGGGUGAGUAACACGUGGGCAACCUGCCUGUAAGACUGGGAUAACUUCGGGAAACCGGAGCUAAUACCGGAUAAUCCUUUUCUACUCAUGUAGAAAAGCUGAAAGACGGUUUACGCUGUCACUUACAGAUGGGCCCGCGGCGCAUUAGCUAGUUGGUGAGGUAACGGCUCACCAAGGCGACGAUGCGUAGCCGACCUGAGAGGGUGAUCGGCCACACGGGGACUGAGCCACGGCCCAGACUCCUACGGGAGGCAGCAGUAGGGAAUCUUCCGCAAUGGACGAAAGUCUGACGGAGCAACGCCGCGUGAGUGAUGAAGGUGUUCGGAUCGUAAAACUCUGUUGUUAGGGAAGAACAAGUACGAGAGUAACUGCUCGGACCUUGACGGUACCUAACCAGAAAGCCACGGCUAACUACGUG